GCAGCCUGCCCUCCCAGCCACAGGCAUCGCCAUUCCAGGACUGUGGAAUAUCUGUUUUCUGACACUGCCUUUGACACUGCUGCAAAACCAAUCCCACCGCAGAAAUCUUUGUCAUACAGUCUACUGCAGUACAGUAUUCAAAAAUUCCCCAGAUUUUUGAAAACCUUUGAAAUGGGUAAAGGAGAAUAACUUAUCAAUGCAUACAAAUGACUUAAGGGAAGAUGUCAAGAAGACCGGACCCAUACAGUGUCAAGAAACUGGCUUGAAGAACCACAUAGCUUUAUGAAGUGGGGGGACAGGAUGCUGUGACACGAGACCAGCGAGUAACAUUGAUGAGAAUGUUUUCAGUACUAAGGAACCUCAGAGGGACCAGGAUUACAUCGCCACAUUUAAAUUAAAUGAACAGUAUAUGCUGAUUCCACACAUUUGGAAAAUACCACUCCUUAAACUUUACUGUGUUUCAAAUAAUAAAGAUUAAAAAAUGCUGUGUUACAUUUGAUACAGAGAGGGAGGUACAGUAUAGUUAAUUAGCUGGUUUGAAGAAGAGAUUAAAUUGGAGCAGUCAUCAUCUGAAACCAUCUAUAUGCAGUAGAUGGGCAUGAAUUUGGUUCAUUUACUUGGAAAGAUAAAAUCUCAAAGAGCUAAAAUAAGGUUAUCUGUGAUUGUAUUUUUAAAAAUCCACACGGUGAGCGCUAUCUCACAAGAUGAAUUUUAAUGUCAUUUACAAUUCUGCCACAAAAUUGGACAGGGCAGGAAGAUAAAUGCAUACAAAAGCUCAAAUUUUCAUUGCCUAAUAUAAAGCUUAGGAACUCAGACUAUCUAUCCCUGCUUGUUAAAUGCUGUAAUUGUUGUUUACUCAUUUUGUUGCUUAGCUUGUUUGUUUUUAUUGAUUUUGUUGUUGAGUAUUUUGUUACAUUUUACGCCUAUUGUGGUUUGAGUUUAUUGUGCAUUUUAAUGCAAAUAUGCUUAUAAGAAGUGAGUUUGUAUUACCAUGAGGAUUUUUCUAUUUUGCUGGUUUUUUUCUUAACAACUUUACAUCUGAAAUCUACCAUGCUGCCCAAAGGACCUCUGUAGCACACUUGGCUAAGUGACAAGACUGUACUUGUUGAUGAACAUACUUCACUACAUCUAAAUAAUCUACCAGCGCAGAAAGAUUAUGAAAACAUAAGUCAGAACAGAUUCUAGGAAACAUUAACAUUAAUGUACAUGGGUAGUAAGCAUUUCACAUAGACUCAGGAAAGCACUGGGAAUAAUUCAAAUAGAAUCAAUGGAAUCUGACCUGCUGUAAUCUUAAAUCCUGAAAAGUUCUCAGUGAUGACAAAUCUCUGCAUUCAUGCUGAAUCUGGCAGACUUUAGAUAUUUGAAAGACAAAGAAACCGGCAAUUUAGCCUAAGCUAUUUUUUGUCUGUCAUGUAAAACUAUACUAAACUCUUCUUUGGUGGUUUACUUCAAGCAUCAACUCUCUUCUUUGUAGGAGUUGUAUAUGCAUUUUUAGAAGAACACAAAGGGUUAAUUUCUUUUUUCCCUGUGUAGUUUCCAAAAUAUUAACUUGAACAUGUCUAUGAAGACACUGCCUUGAAGAUAGAAAACAUAUUUCAAAGUCCUUUGGAAACAUGCUGUAAUGGACAUUUUAAAAAUAAUUGGGAGUCAUAUUGCCAACAUAAAACAAGACAAAUAUAGAUUCUUUGGCAGAUCUACAUGCAUAUAUCUGCUGAGAGCUAUUUGAAAAGUGAAAGUAUUAUCUUAAAGCCAAUUGUCAAUCUAAACACAGCCAACAAGCCUGUAUCUAGAGAGAAUUAAGCAUUUACCAAGACUUUGUUUUUUUGCAAAAAAACUCACUGCUUGUCUUAUGGUCUCAAGGCAUUACAGCAGAAAUAUUAAUUCCUGAAUUCCAUAUUGAUCUUGGAGCAACAGAAAUAGCUUUCAAAAAUUUAACACUACUAAAUGAAAAAAAACCUCACUAUUUCCCACAUCGUCACAGAAAAAUAAAUUGUUUUUAACUCUUGAUCUCUCUCAAUGCUUUCCUUGAUGCCAAAAGUAGUGGAAAGGUUUGUCGAUGACUUUAAAAAUGUGACCAAUUGUUCUUACACCUAAGAAAAUAUUUUGGCCUAAGAAAUCAGAACGCUAUACAAUUUAAUAGUAUAUAUUAGACAGGACUGAUAAGUUUUCUUUUCUAAGCAUAUGUUUGAAAAAAGUCUAAUACUAUUUUCCUACCAAUAUUGUGGAUAAAUACAAUUUACUUUUAAAUUUGGAAUGUCAUUUAACUUAGGGUUUCCCUCAAAAAAAAUGUUUUCCAAUGACCUGUUAAGGAGUGGUGUUUGCAGAACUGUAGUAGCUUGGCACUAAUAAUUUAGCUGCAGUCAUUACUGGCUCUUUUCUUUCCCACUCCCUUUCACCAGGGAGGUGAGUGCAAACCAUGAACUCACCUUUUCAAUGAAAUGCGUUCUUUACAUUGAGAAGGGAGUUCUAUCGCAGGUUCUUACCUACAUUUUUGUGUUGUUCCUCUGGGUAAUGAAACAUGCUUCUGCUAAAACCUGGAUGAAGUUCAUUAACUCGUUUAUUAAAAGCCAUGCACAAAGAGAAGAGUGUGUACUGUGUACUAAACUCACUGUUGGCAUCCUUAGUUACAAUAUGGCAAAACCAAAGGUACUUCUUAAUAUAAUGACAGUAAGUCCACUCCCUGUCAUUUACUGUUUUGUUUUGUAGGCUGUGCGUUUGUUCUUGAAAAGGUGUACUCUCAUUUAAAUUUAUAUGCUAAAUACCUGCUAUCAACUACACAGUAUUUUAAAGUUUUAUAUUCUUUGUAAGUAGAUUUCAAUACUAAAAUCUGUUACAAAUUACUUCUACUCGAUUAAA